rnacentral:rRNA from 1 species
UACGUAGGGGGCAAGCGUUGUCCGGAAUCAUUGGGCGUAAAGAGCGCGUAGGCGGUCCGGUAAGUCGGUUGUGAAAACUGGGGGCUCAACCCUCAGAGGCCGACCGAUACUGCCGGGCUAGAGUCCGGAAGAGGCGAGUGGAAUUCCUGGUGUAGCGGUGAAAUGCGCAGAUAUCAGGAGGAACACCGGUGGCGAAGGCGGGUCUCUGGGCCGUAACUGACGCUGAGGAGCGAAAGCGUGGGGAGCGAACAGG